rnacentral:lncRNA from 1 species
AUGAACUGUGAAUGCUUCUUAACAACCUCCUUGACACACCUCUCUUUCAGAUACUCUGUUUGGUCUUUUUUCAGAUGUAAGAUAACCUUGAUACCCCUGCCAAUAGGCUCACCAUGGUCAGCAGAGACUGUGAAAGAGCCAACAGCAGAAGUCUCCCAGACAUAUUAUUCAUCAUCAUUGUGCUUAGUGAUCACAACAACUUUCUCUUCUACUAGUCUCCUUUGCUGGCUUUUAGAAAAUCUGUAUCAUAACUCUUCACAGUGGAUAUACCCCAAUGUCUGUCACCGGCCGUCUUCCUUCUGCAUUCUCUCACUUGGUAAGAUUGUAUUUUCUUAUUUUCUCCCAUGGGUUUAAUUCAUAUGCAGAUGUUUGUUGUUUCAGUUAUAUCUGACUUUUUAUGACCCCAUUUGGGGUUUUCUUGGAAAAGAUACCGAAAUGGUGCCAUUUCCUUCUCCAGCUCCUUCUAUAGAUGAGGGAACUAAGGAAAACAGUGUUAAGUGACUUGCUCAGAGUCACAUAGCUAGGAAGUGUCUGAGGCCAGAUUUGGACUCACAAAGAUGAGUCUUCUUGAUUUUAGGCCCAACAUUCUGUCCACUGUACAUUUAGCUGCCCUCACUUUUUUUUAGUUAAUUAUGUCCAACCCUUCUUGAUCCUAUUUGGGAUUUUCAUGGCAAAGAUAUUGGAGUGAUUUGCCAUUUCCUUCUCUAGUUCAUUUGAAGAAACUGAGACAACCAGGAUCACACAGCUAGUAUCUGAGGCUAGAUUUGAACUCAGAUCUUUCUAACUCUUGGUUCAGUACUCUAUCCACUAUACCACUUAGCUGGUGACUCAACUCUUUAUAUCUAGCCCAUAAUCUCUCUUCUGACUUCUAGUACUUUAGUGCCAAAUGACCAUUCGACAUUCCUAACUGUAUGUCCCAAGACAUUUCAGAUUCAAUAUGUCCAAAACAGAAAUCUUAUUUUUCCUAAAACCCAUUCUGAUUCUGAACUUCCUUGUUUCUGUUGUGGG